UCGAAAAAGGGCUAUUCAGUCUUUUACACAAAACACACGAUCUUCCCAAAUCUCUCCCCCCGAAUUACACGCUCCACCUUCCGUUCAUUAUUCUGAAACACUAGGGUUUUCAUAAUUCCUGCAAAUCGAAACAUCCAUUGAAGACCCUCGGUUUCUAAAUUGAAGAGAGGCGACAGUGGUUGUUCAUCAUCAAAUGACGAAAUACAUGGGGGAAAUGUGGAACAAUCGAACAAUAGUAGUGACGAGGGUAAUGAAUACUUGCGUUCAAUUAUUUGUGUCUUCAUAUUCUAAUUAUUUAUUUGUUUAUUCGAAUUAAUAUAUGUUCGAAAUUUAUUCCUGGUCUGAAUUAUUCACCUAUUUAAGGUCAACAUUACAUAUAUUGGUAUUCUAAAUGUUUGUUUGUUUAUUCAAGAAAAUUUGUGCUUCAAAUUUACACAUGUUUUGAAUUAUUAACGUAUUUACGUUCACCAAUUUGUGUAAUGUUGAAUUCACCCAUUGCUAAGCUGAAGUUGAAUUCUGUUUUUUCUUAUUUGUGAUUUAUUGAUUAGGCUGCAUUUAGUGUAUGGAAGAGUCUGAUUCCGUGAGCAAGCAAGAUGAUAGUGAAAGUUGUCAAGGUGGGAUGGGUGAUAAUAUCGUCCGAGAAAGAGAUAUGCAAGCAGGAUUUGUGGCUUUAGAACGAGUUGAUGAACAACUAUUCAUAGUGUUCAGACAUUAUUGUGCGAUAUUCAUUACUGAAUAAUAUUUAUUCAGAACUUAUUAAUGUUAUUUAGAACUUAUUUAUAACUGAAUAGUAGUUAUUCGAAAGGUACACUAGAUUAUUCAGAACUUAUUCAUGUUAUUCAGUUUCAUGUUUCACUUAUUCGAUUAAUAACAAAGUGGUAUUCGAUGAA